rnacentral:tRNA from 1 species
GCGCCCGUGGUCUAAUGGAUAAGGCACGAGUCUUCUAAACUCGAAGAUGGGGGUUCGAUUCCCUCCGGGCGCGCCA